UACGUAGGGGGCAAGCGUUGUCCGGAAUCAUUGGGCGUAAAGCGCGUGUAGGCGGUCCGGUAAGUCCGCUGUGAAAGUCGGGGGCUCAACCCUCGGAUGCCGGUGGAUACUGUCGGGCUUGAGUACGGAAGAGGCGAGUGGAAUUCCUGGUGUAGCGGUGAAAUGCGUAGAUAUUCGGAGGAACACCAGUGGCGAAGGCGGCCACCUGGAUCAAUACUGACGCUGAGGCGCGAAAGCGUGGGUAGCAAACAGG
rnacentral:rRNA from 1 species